rnacentral:rRNA from 1 species
UACGAAGGGUGCAAGCGUUACUCGGAAUUACUGGGCGUAAAGCGUGCGUAGGUGGUUUGUUCAGUCUGAUGUGAAAGCCCUGGGCUCAACCUGGGAAUUGCAUUGGAUACUGGCAGGCUAGAGUGCGGUAGAGGGUAGUGGAAUUCCCGGUGUAGCAGUGAAAUGCGUAGAGAUCGGGAGGAACAUCCGUGGCGAAGGCGACUACCUGGACCAGCACUGACACUGAGGCACGAAAGCGUGGGGAGCAAACAGG